rnacentral:rRNA from 1 species
CAGUCGCCGCGGGAACACGAAGGGUGCAAGCGUUAAUCGGAAUUACUGGGCGUAAAGCGUGCGCAGGCGGUUUGUUAAGACAGAUGUGAAAUCCCCGGGCUCAACCUGGGAACUGCAUUUGUGACUGGCAAGCUAGAGUCUGGCAGAGGGGGGUGGAAUUCCGCGUGUAGCAGUGAAAUGCGUAGAUAUGCGGAGGAACACCGAUGGCGAAGGCAGCCCCCUGGGCCAACACUGACGCUCAUGCACGAAAGCGUGGGGAGCAAACAGGAUUAGAUACCCCUGUAGUCCCUGUCUCUUAUAC